rnacentral:rRNA from 1 species
CGGGGAACCGCAAGACCUCAUAGUAUAGGAGCGGGGCUAUGUUUGAUUAGAUAGUUGGUGGGGUGAAGGCCCACCAAGGCGACGAUCAGUAGCUGGUCUGAGAGGACGAUCAGCCACGCUGGGAGUGAGACACGGCCCAGACUCCUACGGGAGGCAGCAGUGGGGAAUUUUGUACAAAGGGGGCAACCCUUAUCCAGCAAAAAAGCGUGUGUGAAGAAGGCCAUCGGGUUGUAAAACACUUUUGUCCGGAAAGAAAUCGCCCUUACUAAUAUUAGGUGUGGAUGGCGGUCCCGGAGAGAUAAGGGCCGGCUAAUUACGUUCCAGCAGCCGCGGUAAUACGUAGGGUCCAAUCGUUAAUGGGAAGUUCUGGGCGUAAAGCGUGCGCAGGCGGUUGUGCAAGAUCGAUGUGAAAUCCCCGGGGUUAACCUGGGAAUUGCAUUGGUGACUGCACGGUUAGAGUGUGUCAGAGGGGGGUAGAAUUCCACGUGUAGCAGUUAAAUGCGUAGAUAUGGGGAGGAAUACCGAUGGUGAAGGCAGCCCCAUGGGAUAACAAUGACGCUCAUGCACGAAAGCGUGGGGAGCAAACAGGAUUAGAUACCGUGGUAGUC